rnacentral:rRNA from 1 species
UCAAGUGAAGAAGCGCAUACGGUGGAUGCCUUGGCAGUCAGAGGCGAUGAAAGACGUGGUAGCCUGCGAAAAGCUUCGGGGAGUCGGCAAACAGACUGUGAUCCGGAGAUGUCUGAAUGGGGGAACCCAGCCAUCAUAAGAUGGUUAUCUUGUACUGAAUACAUAGGUGCAAGAGGCGAACCAGGGGAACUGAAACAUCUAAGUACCCUGAGGAAAAGAAAUCAACCGAGAUUCCCUUAGUAGUGGCGAGCGAACGGGGACCAGCCCUUAAGUUGUAUUGAGAUUAGCGGAACGUUCUGGAAAGGACGGCCAUAGUGGGUGAUAGCCCUGUACGCGAAAAUCCCUUUGCAAUGAAAUCGAGUAGGACGGGGCACGAGAAACCUUGUCUGAAUAUGGGGGGACCAUCCUCCAAGGCUAAAUACUACUGACUGACCGAUAGUGAACCAGUACCGUGAGGGAAAGGCGAAAAGAACCGCGGAGAGCGGAGUGAAAUAGAUCCUGAAACCGUAUGCGUACAAGCAGUGGGAGCCCACUUUGUUGGGUGACUGCGUACCUUUUGUAUAAUGGGUCAGCGACUUAUUUUCAGUGGCGAGCUUAACCGAAUAGGGGAGGCGUAGCGAAAGCGAGUCUUAAUAGGGCGUCUAGUCGCUGGGAAUAGACCCGAAACCGGGCGAUCUAUCCAUGGGCAGGUUGAAGGUUGGGUAACACUAACUGGAGGACCGAACCGACUACCGUUGAAAAGUUAGCGGAUGACCUGUGGAUCGGAGUGAAAGGCUAAUCAAGCUCGGAGAUAGCUGGUUCUCCUCGAAAGCUAUUUAGGUAGCGCCUCAUGUAUCACUGUAGGGGGUAGAGCACUGUUUCGGCUAGGGGGUCAUCCCGACUUACCAAACCGAUGCAAACUCCGAAUACCUACAAGUGCCGAGCAUGGGAGACACACGGCGGGUGCUAACGUCCGUCGUGAAAAGGGAAACAACCCAGACCGUCAGCUAAGGUCCCAAAGUCAUGGUUAAGUGGGAAACGAUGUGGGAAGGCUUAGACAGCUAGGAGGUUGGCUUAGAAGCAGCCACCCUUUAAAGAAAGCGUAAUAGCUCACUAGUCGAGUCGGCCUGCGCGGAAGAUGUAACGGGGCUCAAACCAUGCACCGAAGCUACGGGUAUCAUCUUAGGAUGAUGCGGUAGAGGAGCGUUCUGUAAGCCUGUGAAGGUGAGUUGAGAAGCUUGCUGGAGGUAUCAGAAGUGCGAAUGCUGACAUGAGUAACGACAAUGGGUGUGAAAAACACCCACGCCGAAAGACCAAGGUUUCCUGCGCAACGUUAAUCGACGCAGGGUUAGUCGGUCCCUAAGGCGAGGCUGAAAAGCGUAGUCGAUGGAAAACAGGUUAAUAUUCCUGUACUUCUGGUUAUUGCGAUGGAGGGACGGAGAAGGCUAGGCCAGCCUGGCGUUGGUUGUCCAGGUUUAAGGUGGUAGGCUGAGAUCUUAGGUAAAUCCGGGAUCUCAAGGCCGAGAGCUGAUGACGAGUGUUCUUUAGAACACGAAGUGGUUGAUGCCAUGCUUCCAAGAAAAGCUUCUAAGCUUCAGGUAACCAGGAACCGUACCCCAAACCGACACAGGUGGUUGGGUAGAGAAUACCAAGGCGCUUGAGAGAACUCGGGUGAAGGAACUAGGCAAAAUGGCACCGUAACUUCGGGAGAAGGUGCGCCGGUGAGGGUGAAGCAUUUACUGCGUAAGCCCACGCCGGUCGAAGAUACCAGGCCGCUGCGACUGUUUAUUAAAAACACAGCACUCUGCAAACACGAAAGUGGACGUAUAGGGUGUGACGCCUGCCCGGUGCCGGAAGGUUAAUUGAUGGGGUUAGCGCAAGCGAAGCUCUUGAUCGAAGCCCCGGUAAACGGCGGCCGUAACUAUAACGGUCCUAAGGUAGCGAAAUUCCUUGUCGGGUAAGUUCCGACCUGCACGAAUGGCGUAACGAUGGCGGCGCUGUCUCCACCCGAGACUCAGUGAAAUUGAAAUCGCUGUGAAGAUGCAGUGUAUCCGCGGCUAGACGGAAAGACCCCGUGAACCUUUACUAUAGCUUUGCACUGGACUUUGAAUUUGCUUGUGUAGGAUAGGUGGGAGGCUUUGAAACGUGGACGCCAGUCUGCGUGGAGCCAACCUUGAAAUACCACCCUGGCAACUUUGAGGUUCUAACUCAGGUCCGUUAUCCGGAUCGAGGACAGUGUAUGGUGGGUAGUUUGACUGGGGCGGUCUCCUCCUAAAGAGUAACGGAGGAGUACGAAGGUGCGCUCAGACCGGUCGGAAAUCGGUCGUAGAGUAUAAAGGCAAAAGCGCGCUUGACUGCGAGACAGACACGUCGAGCAGGUACGAAAGUAGGUCUUAGUGAUCCGGUGGUUCUGUAUGGAAGGGCCAUCGCUCAACGGAUAAAAGGUACUCCGGGGAUAACAGGCUGAUACCGCCCAAGAGUUCAUAUCGACGGCGGUGUUUGGCACCUCGAUGUCGGCUCAUCACAUCCUGGGGCUGAAGCCGGUCCCAAGGGUAUGGCUGUUCGCCAUUUAAAGUGGUACGCGAGCUGGGUUUAGAACGUCGUGAGACAGUUCGGUCCCUAUCUGCCGUGGACGUUUGAGAUUUGAGAGGGGCUGCUCCUAGUACGAGAGGACCGGAGUGGACGAACCUCUGGUGUUCCGGUUGUCACGCCAGUGGCAUUGCCGGGUAGCUAUGUUCGGAAAAGAUAACCGCUGAAAGCAUCUAAGCGGGAAACUUGCCUCAAGAUGAGAUCUCACUGGAACCUUGAGUUCCCUAAAGGGCCGUCGAAGACUACGACGUUGAUAGGUUGGGUGUGUAAGCGCUGUGAGGCGUUGAGCUAACCAAUACUAAUUGCCCGUGAGGCUUGACCAU